UGUCUUGUGCUGUGUAACCCGUAGCGGCUCGGUUACGACUGUUACUUAAAUAUUUCUGUGGGAUUAGUGAGGUUUUAUUAAUUAUUUAGUUUGUUUCGUGGUGAGUUUUAUCUCCCCACGCGGUGGAUGGACCCAAGUGCAAGGUCAGCUGACCGAGUUAAAAAUACCGUGGGGAAUAUGAGAGCAUGUUGUCGCUGUAAACCUGCCCGAGGUGCCACGAAGAGUUGAGAAAAACUGAAUCUUUCCACAUGAAAUAAAUGUGCAGAGCAGCUCAACGGGUCUAAAUUACAGCUGUACAGCGUAGCCCUGCUAAAGAAUGCAUGUCAUGAAAACAACACUGACUGGGAUUUUGCCAGCCAACCCUGGAAAAGAUUUGUUGCUGUUCCUGUCUCCUUCUCCCCACCUCCUCACAUGAACUCCGCUGACCUGGGGGCCCUAGACUCAGACGGAUAUCAACGUGCCUGUCCCAAAACAUGACCCAGGCACAUGGUUGCUUGACAAGGAUCAAAGGUCACAUCAGUAAAAUAUGAGUCUUAAACUAGUUCAGUCUUCUCUGACAUGUGGCCUGAGGAGGGAAGUAGGCAUUUCAGUUCAACCAGGAGCAUGCACUUGAAUUUGGGGAGCAGCAUGCACGACAGAAAAAAGUCUUGCAAGAUGUACCUGUGUUUGCAAGAUUUCAUAAAAUCUCCACAGACAUGCAAAAAAACCUAAAAAUAUAAAGCUUGUUUAUGAUGAUCAAAGCGUAUAAGAGGUAAAACGAGACGCCUGAAAAUACCUGACCCGUAUUUAUAUAUAGCUCAAAGUUCAGUGUCAUUUUUCAGCAGCUGUUGAUGAACUUUACACUGCAUAACCCAUGAAACACUGAAUAUGGAAAAUGCAUGUGAGCUAAACAUAGUGAACUUUGAACUGCUUUCAAACUGUCUGUGUGCGGCUUACUGAGCAGUAUAUAUUUAAACUGCAGGUGGUAGGCCUUCUUUGCAUAAUAAUUGUUGAACUGCAUAUGACCCUGACUCACCAAAUACACUGCGGUGUCAAACUGCCAAUAAUCCAUGGUCCUUCACAGAUAGUGGGGUAAUAUUUUACCUGAAGUGUGAUUAACAAGUAUUAUCAAGUGUGUGUGUGUGUGUGUGAGUUGUCUAUUGGUGUUCUUGAAUCUUAAUUUCAAUGAGAGUAUGGAUAAUCUGAGAGCACAGUAGGGCUGAGUCAUUUUUCAGGUAAACAUACCCAUAUCUGAAAUCAAUAUGUUUGGGUUUUAAAAAAAUACUGAUUGCUAAUUGAAAACAUUAGGAAACUGUAACGGACAUUUUAACUACUGUCUGACAAGCAAAAAAAGUGGCUUUUAUUAAAACAAUUGUUAGUUACCUCACUAAGACACCUAAAUUGGCUUACAGAACUAAAUCAAACAACCCCUUUUACUGCUAGCCCUACGGCUGCUACCAUUAUGCUUACAGCAGCAUUCUGACCACGUUUUUUAACCACGUGUGGUAAAAUUAAACAUGUUUUAAGAUGCGCUCUGGUCAAAUGAAACUUGGUUAACUCUAUCUCUCAGUAUUUCAGAACACAUUUUAUCUUCAUAUCCUCUGAUGUGGCGUUCUACAGUUGAAGAUAAGUUUAUAUUAGAGCAGAGAAAAGUACAGUUUUUUCCUUCAACAUCAAAUAGGAACCCUGCUCUUCAUUACUUUCAUAUCUGUGGUUUCGACAGCUUGGCUCUGUACUUCUCUGGUGCAGACAUUAGCCUACUGAGUUCUCUCUCUGAUAUGACUUAUAAACCCUGCGUUUUGUAUUCCCUCUUUGUAUUGUAUGUUUGGGUGUUUUUUUUUUAAUUAUUUAUUGCUAAAAGGGUCAACCGCAUUUUAUGGAGCUUUUGUUUUUGUUACAGGUGCACAGGGAAUUUUAGCACUGGAAGGAUGUCAGAGCAUUGCUGUUACAUCCUGGUUCAUCUGAGCACAAGAUCAUAACAGCAAUGAAUUUGCAAGAGCAAAGUUAGUGAAAUAUGUUGCAGGCAAGUAAAAAAAAAAAAAAAACAUUCAUUAAACAUUAAUUUAGAUUCAACAUUCCCACUGUACAAUGAGUUCCUGACAGUGUUUGCUGAAGUAAAAUGAGGCCAGUCUGCAAUGUUCUUCAACACCGACCAAAAUAUAAAUCACAAUAUUGGAUCGUCUCAUUGGUUUCAGAUCAUUUGAGGACAACAACUCAUGUCCUCGUGGUCCAACCUCAAAUAAAAUGCUUAAAGGGGAUACAUGAAUGGUGGCUUUGUUGCACAAAAGCACAGAAUGCAUCCUCAGUUGUAAGUGGCUAAAUGGAUUAUACAUGCAGAGGAAAGGUCAACUAUAAAUCCCAUAAGAACCCAUGGUGACACGUGUGUCACAAACACUUUAAAUGUCCUUGAAUCUUCCAUAUACAGCUUUAUGCUAGACUUUAACUCAUUAAGUCCCUAAGUGACAUCUACAAAACAUCCUGGUAUGGUGGUCAUAUGACAAUCAUGUGACUGUGACAGGAAAGUGUCCCCUCCAAAAUGUGGGUGUGACUGAAAUGACAGAAAUGACAGAAAUAAAGGAAAUGGCUGAAUUCAAAAAGCUUGUUUUUUGAUACUAAUGUAAGUUUAAACCCAUUUAACAAUUCUAAUGCUUUAAUAGUAUGUCCUGUAUUGCAUUUAAUCUGUUCUGACCAUAUUUCCCGAACAAAAUAAUAUAAAACAAGUUACUAAAAUGUUGCUGUGACGUAUACGUCACAUCGGGCUUUUAACUGAAAAUCUGAUGUGACGCCUGUGUCACAAUAACAAAAAAGGUAAUAAGCCUCUCAAUUAAUUUCACUGUUUCAAUUAUUUAGAAUUAAUAUAUGCCCUGUUGUUCAAUUUAAAGUAUAUUUGAAGAAAUAUAAACAAAAAUGAAUGUCAAAUUAUUAAGGUAUUUAUUUACCAAGGUAUUUAUUUACCAAAAACACCCAUUGUGACUUAUAUGUCACAAAACAAAUAUUUGACAUUUAAAAAGAAAAAACAUCAGAAAUGUGUUCUAUGAGUUGGUAUAUCCCCCAUCAUUUUCUUUCAAGAAAAAUGGGUCUGGGUUCUUAUGGGCUAAGGAUCACCACAUGUAUCCAGCUAUAUAGAAAGUGAUGUGUCACUGUCUGACACGCACUUCUUAGUAGAAGUUAAUGGAAAACUUAUUAAAUGACAAAGAUUAAAGUUAGCACCGGCCUAACAAGAUCACAUUUGCCAUAUUGUAUUUUUUCGUUUUAAUCCUCACUUGACUUUAAUGUCCACAAUUUGAUCCUGUUUUGUAACCCUGUUCUGAAUAUGAGCUGUAUAAAUGAAGAUUGUUACCAUGAUACCAAGGAUGGAAAAGUUCUGACGCUCAUUAGCAGCCAAUUCCUACUUGGGGGGGGCAAAACAGCUUCACUGUGGGAAGAAUUCAGCAUCAUCUAACGUGACUAUAUGGAAUGUGAGGAAAUAAAUGUGCAAAGUCAAUACAAACAAGUAUUGCAACACUCUCACUACAUGUUUUCUGUGGAAAAGUACCAGGGUACACCGUGUCACCAUGGCGGAUUCCCUUGUUGUUUUAUGGCAAAGCCUCGGGGAAAAGGACGGGGGAGGGGCAGGGCUGUAUAGAAACAAGUGGUGUGUGUGUCAGUGUGUCUGUGUGAGCAUAUGUGUGUGAAUGCAUGUGAUAGAAUGAGGGGAGGUUAUAAUUUGAUCCUGGGUGCAUCUCCAGCCGUUUAGCUUUGGAAAUUUACCUUCACAACAGAGCAGAUGGGAAAAUUUGGAUGAGGAAAAUGACUACGAUCAGAUUUAACCUCAACAAGUGGUUCAGAGUGUCCUGACAGCACCUCGGCUACCGACAGGGCAACAGAAGAUGACCGGGCAGCUCCCAGAGGUCAAUGUGGAAGUGUAUGGAGGUGCUGAAAAUGUGUGUUUUCUGCUGUAAACGUGCAGAUAAGGCUGUCCUAUUGCAGCAUUCACAGUCAUGAAAGCGUUGGAAUUUGUCAUUUGUAGUCCUGUUAUUUAAAAAUUCUUCUAUAAUAAAGUCUGCACACUUUUUAAAGGAGAAAAAAAAAUGUACGUUUGUCUGUGUGUGUAUCCGCUAUACACCGUCCUUAUCUGCUGCAUACUGCUACAUACUGUAGCAGAUAAGGGAGUGCCAACAGUCAACCAACUAGUCACAUGCACAUCCAAUGCAUACAAUCUAGCUUGAUUUCAGAUGUGUUACUAUACGAUGUUACACAGCAGAAUUUCACUGCACUCCGCUGUUUCCCUAUUUCUUUGUUUCCCCAACACUGUGCUGUUUUGCCCAUUGUGAUAACAAAACCAGUUUGAUUUGUUCUCUUCUUCCCAGAGAUAUGUUUAAAAGAACAACACAAAUUCAAGUGGGCAGUUGUGUGAAUGUCACUGAAAUCUAAACAGUGUCUCUGGAUAAUGUUGGAGGGCAGCCUGCUGGUUUUUGUGCAUGUUUGCUCUGCAUUUUGUAAACUACACACGGGAAAUGCUAAUGUGGGACUGCAGGAAGAAAAUUACAAGAAUAUAAAUCCUAGGCUGACUGAAAUUAUUGUGAAUGAAUUAAAAAUACAAUUGAGGGCAUUUAAUGAUGUAUGGCCAAGACUUUGUUCAGAGAGCGACUGAUUACAUUAAAGUUACUAUUUCCUUUACAUAUUCCACAUACUGUACAGUUGUGGACUGAGAUGCCCUUUCACCUACAUGUUUGGCAUUAUUUUACUAACAAGCUGCAUAUAUAUUUACAGGAUAUAGAUUAACUGAGCUGUAAUUCAGCACCAUGUUUUUGUUCAAUCUGUAUUUAAAUCAGUAAUGUCAUUUAGACAAAGGAAUUAAAUGCGGUUUACCACAAAGCAAAACAUGGUAUGAGACCAUGUCAUUGAUGAUAAAAAGGGUCACAUGUCAAAAAGAGUGCUUAAACAUGUUCCACUGUAUUGCAGCUGAGCAGUGAAAUGAGGCCAUAGUUUGUGAUGUUAUAUUGGAUUGAAUUAUAUUGAGUGUAUUGCCUUUAAUAAUAUAAUGACCCUUAACCAGCAAUAAUGCACCAGUGUCAUCAAAGAAUCCCAUAAUGAUGAAUCAACUCCUUUCUGACAGAAAAAUAGGCUGAUAGGCUUCUCAAAGGGAGGAUUGUAUUUCCUGCUCCAUAUUGUUGGGAUGUUAUUAUUGUAUCUGCUCCCUAAGCAGUUCACCAGAGUGCAAAUGAUCGCUGCUCGUCUGUGAGUAAUUGUAGUCAGGUGACCUCCUUUGGGAAAUACAGCAAUUGUUGUGCAGUGAUUCAUUCAUAUAAAAUAUUUAUGCCCAAAGAGAUUUGGAUUUCUUUGACUUACUGUAUGUAAUAGUAACAUUAUUUAGAUUAUCAUUAUAUAGGUUCAUAUGGCUCAAAAAAUCCACUGUAUGAAAAGUGAGAACCUACAAAGGGCAGAAAUGUCGCGACAUUUCACCGAGACACACCCCCUUUUGGUCGUAAUAUCGACCGUUCCACUCGGGGCUCCUCACAGUACACCGAGCUGAAUGAGGGUGAACGUACGACCCGCAAAACAAAGAUGGUUGCGCCCAUAUUGAGAUGUAUUUUCUUUGUAUUUGUACUACGUUGGUCAUUUUAAUGUCGAUUUUAAAUGCUCUUACACACUUGUUUACAUUGCUGCUUUAGUCCGGUCACCAAUUUAUGCAUUGCAUGGUGUUGCUGUGCGUGCAACACAAUGUAAAGUUUUGUUUUCAAGCUGGUUUGCUAAAUAGGCUAAUAUAGCUAACAAUAAGCCCCUGGUGGCUCGAGACAAAAUAUAACAAGACAGCUGCUGCACUGGUGGCGUCCAUGUUCUUUCUGACUCGUUGUGUAGCAAAUGCCCAAAGACAAACUGGAGCGCUAUAAGUGGUACAAGCCAGGCAAUUACGUCAUGUUCUCGCGUCAGAGCAACUCGGGCGGGGGAUUUACGAGACAAAUGGAUAGCACCAUUAGCUGAUAGCCACUGAGGGACUUGUCAUAUGACCAAUACACUUAUUAGCAGCUAAUUCGAAUGUGAUGUGUGAAUUACAUAACCUUUGUGAACUCUGAAGAAGCCGGCAAUUCAAUCUCGUCCCAUGCUGGUGAGUCAGUGAAGAAAUACUGUCUUUCAUAGCAGACAAUCUAAAUGGGGUUGGAAGAGGGAGGAAAGUCUGCAUACCAAAGAAGAGUGAAGUGGAAACAUGGAGCUCUAAGGACAGGCAAACAUUGUUACUGUUUGCUAAGGUUAUACAACAGAUAUCUCAAGAGAUAUUCUUGCUUUUGCUGUCAGUCAAAAACCAUUAUUACAGCAGGUAAUUUCAACUAAGGGACUGUAUGAAAAUUAUUGGGGUGAAUAUCCGCAAUAUCUCAAAAUACUUACAAUCAUUAAUACCAUUACAGUUCAUUUUGCAUUAAUAACUAGAACCGUGCAAAGAAUUUUAGAUGGUGUUUUCAAAUUUAAGCCUUAAUAUGUGAAUGGAGUAAUCGUUUUCACAUAGAAAGCAAAUCACCUAAUGGAAAUGAACAAAUGCCAGAAUAUUCCAGCCUUUUUAUUUCUGAAACAAGAUGUCAUUUAAUAUGACACAUUUACAUUAUUUUUUGCAUAUUUCUGAACCCUCCCCUCUCCUAAUCAUUUAUCUACAGUCCCUAAAGUGUCAAUGAACUUUGCUCUCCACAUUUAAAAAAGUAAAUUUAUAACACAAAAUAAAAUGCUAUUCUUUAUCAAAUACAUGAAAUUGCACAAAUGGUAAACGCACGACCCUUCUGAUUGCAGACCUUGACAUAGAAGAGGAAAUAACAAUAAUCACAGAGUAAUGAUUUGCUUUUCUUCUGAAAUGCUGAGAAGAGCAGGAAAAAAAUUAAAUUACAUUGUAACCAUAGUAAUCGUUCCCUCACGGCUUCCUCUGUGUGAUGUCUGACAUUUCCACUUUUUAUCAUACAUCUUGCUGACAACAUCUCCCCUGUUCAUGUUGUCAGUGGAAACUGCUGUCAGGUCCGGCUGCCUGCUGGUAACCAAAAAGCAUUUCAUGCAUGUUCAAGCCACAGAGCCUCGACCUUAAGCAGGGGUUUGCAUUUGAAGCAUGAGCCAUACGACAUCAUCGCAUGCUGGUAAUGUGCAUGUUAUCCCGUCUCUUUCAUUGGAUGUCUCCAGGAGAUCAGCCCAGCAGCAUGCUAAUGGUGGACAAAUGCAUCAUUAGGGCUGUCUCUUCGUUACCCCUGUUGAUGUCUAUCACUUUGCAACCUGAGAGUUAAAUGUGAUUCAUUGAGCCCAGCUGGUGCAAAAUGACCCACUGCUAUUGUGAUGGGGUGAGAUAAUCUCUUAUCCAAAACAUGAAUCCUUUUCUUCAUGGCAGCUUUAGCACCAACAGAGACGUCCAGGUUCUGACUAUGAGUUUCUAGUUUCCUUUCUCUCUCUCUCUCUCUCUCUCUCUCUCUCUCUCUCUGUGUGUGUUUGCAGUACCAGCACCUGAGAUAAGAGCUGGCAAGUGAAGAAAACAAGAAGGUGCAUUAUCCUCUCACUAAAGCACGUUUGGAAUAUGAGUGUUGUUUGGUCUUUUCAGUUGCUCCAACAACUUGUGAUUUAUUACACGUUCUAAAAGGGAAACAUCUGCCCUUGAAAAACAGGUGAAGGAACAAACAGGCGCUGCAGUGGAGGUAUUUGAAAAUGGGGUUAAUGUAUAACCUAAGUCAAUGCUAGACAGAUGGGUAUUUUAAAAUCUUAUACUGCUGUUUAGAAAAUACGAUAUUUCCCAGCAGCACAUAUCUGCCCCUCUCUGCAGGGCUCUGUGGGGGAUUCACGUGGCUUGUUUUUUUGCCUGACAGUUAUAAUAUAUGUGCUUUCAGUUUCAGGAAUGCUGCUGCAUCUUGGAAAAAAGGGAGUGUCACUAAGAGCAGAUGUUAUGCUUUUAAUCAUCCAUAUUGCACUGAAGCUUUUGAUGUUUUAGUACUUGGAUUCUUCCUUACACACCAAAUGCCAUUGUGUUUUCAACAUCCAACUCGCUCUGGGACAACUGCAGAGGAAGUUGAGUUAAUUUAUCAAUGAAAUAGGCUUUUACGUUACUAUGGUCGUAAAGAAAAAUCCCCUCUGGUGUUUUGCCUUGCAUCUAUUUAUCUAUAUUUUUCAGUAAAACAAAGCUUGUUUUGUUACAAUACACUUUUUACAAUAAAAUAUGAGAAUGAAAUUGUGCUGUCUUGCAAUUUGUUUAACAUUUUCAAACAAAUUUCCCCCCGGGGAUCAAUAAAGUAUUUCUGAUUCUGA